rnacentral:rRNA from 1 species
UACGUAGGGUGCAAGCGUUAAUCGGAAUUACUGGGCGUAAAGCGUGCGCAGGCGGUUUUGUAAGUCUGUCGUGAAAUCCCCGGGCUCAACCUGGGAAUGGCGUUGGUGACUGCAAGGCUAGAGUUUGGCAGAGGGGGGUAGAAUUCCACGUGUAGCAGUGAAAUGCGUAGAUAUGUGGAGGAACACCGAUGGCGAAGGCAGCCCCCUGGGUCAAAACUGACGCUCAUGCACGAAAGCGUGGGGAGCAAACAGG